rnacentral:rRNA from 1 species
CCUACGGGUGGCAGCAGUGAGGAAUAUUGGUCAAUGGACGAGAGUCUGAACCAGCCAAGUAGCGUGAAGGAUGACUGCCCUAUGGGUUGUAAACUUCUUUUAUAUGGGAAUAAAAUGUUCCACGUGUGGGAUUUUGUAUGUACCAUAUGAAUAAGGAUCGGCGAACUCCGUGCCAGCAGCCGCGGUAAUACGGAGGAUCCGAGCGUUAUCCGGAUUUAUUGGGUUUAAAGGGAGCGUAGGUGGAUUGUUAAGUCAGUUGUGAAAGUUUGCGGCUCAACCGUAAAAUUGCAGUUGAAACUGGCAGUCUUGAGUACAGUAGAGGUGUGCGGAAUUCGUGGUGUAGCGGUGAAAUGCUUAGAUAUCACGAAGAACUCCGAUUGCGAAGGCAGUUCACUGGACUGCAACUGACACUGAGGCUCGAAAGUGUGGGUAUCAAACAGGAUUAGAUACCCGUGUAGUC